UACGUAGGGUGCGAGCGUUGUCCGGAAUUAUUGGGCGUAAAGAGCUCGUAGGCGGUUUGUUGCGUCGGCCGUGAAAACUUGGGGCUUAACCCCGAGCCUGCGGUCGAUACGGGCAGACUUGAGUUCGGCAGGGGAGACUGGAAUUCCUGGUGUAGCGGUGAAAUGCGCAGAUAUCAGGAGGAACACCAAUAGCGAAGGCAGCUCGCUGGGACGGUACUGACGCUAAGGCGCGAAAGCGUGGGGAGCGAACAGG
rnacentral:rRNA from 1 species